AUUGAACGCUGGCGGCAGGCCUAACACAUGCAAGUCGAACGAGUGGCGGACGGGUGAGUAAUGUCUGGGAAACUGCCUGAUGGAGGGGGAUAACUACUGGAAACGGUAGCUAAUACCGCAUACCAUCAGAUGUGCCCAGGUGGGAUUAGCUAGUAGGUGGGGUAACGGCUCACCUAGGCGACGAUCCCUAGCUGGUCUGAGAGGAUGACGAGCCACACUGGAACUGAGACACGGUCCAGACUCCUAAGGGAGGCAGCAGUGGGGAAUAUUGCACAAUGGGCGCAAGCCUUAUGCAGACAUGCCGCGUGUGUGAAGACGGCCUUCGGGUUUUAAAGCACUUUCAGCGGGGAGGCGUUACCCGCAGAAGAAGCACCGGCUAACUCCGUGCCAGCAGCCGCGGUAAUAC
rnacentral:rRNA from 1 species